AUUGGAUCAGACCUCAGUGACUCAUGUUCUCCAUCCUCAUACCGUUAAUGAGCAGAUACUCAGAGAAAGUGCAAGGAAGUGAAGAAGGAAUAAACAAGUGUUCUCAGGGGAAAAUUCUUCCCUGCUUUUGAUGAUCAGGAACUGGCUUAUUCCCUACAACAUAAAAAGGAUUACUGGCUUUGUGUUUAAACCAGUUAUUCUAAGAACGUGAACAGUCUUGAGAUCACUUGCUUAUCUUCCAACCCAAAACUGUACGAAAGGAACCUCCUCUCGGGGAACACAAAUACACACAGUGGGGCAACCCUAUCAAAACUAUGCAUCAACAACUCAAGAAGAACAAAUAACUUGGGUUACAGAAGAACUAAGAUUGCUGUUUCCUGUGCUUCAUUGAAGUAGAUGAAGUAUGACUUCCAAGAGAGCAGUCUUUCUGCCUACUCACCAUCAUCCAGAGGAGCUUCCUGGAUCCCUGCGCUUCCAUGAGAACGGAGGGGAGAUGCAGCUCCUACAGCCGCCAGGAGCCACCAGCUUUGAAGAAAGGGAUGAGAUGACCUCAUUAAGCAAUGCAAAAUUUACUCUUAAAAAUACAGACCAACAGAGCCGUAGAAACAACACAGUAUAUAUUUUUAAGUACCUUAGUCAAUUCAUUCAAAAACUGUACGUUGUCAGGAGGAGGGGAUGCAGUUUAAUAAUUUUAAUGGCCAACACUUAAUAAAAGAUUAAAGGUCUAAUACAUUAAAAAGGAAACUCUGCUGAUGGUAAUCACUUUUGCUGCUUUUAUACAUCAUUUUGUUCCAUGUUUGUGUAUGAAAUGAGGUUUGGGGAGGCGGGGGGAAUUUGAAGAUUUAGGGAGAUUACUGCUUUCAUGGGAGUGUUUUAUUGCACUUCGGCAGUUCUGGAUUUAAC
ensembl:lncRNA